rnacentral:rRNA from 1 species
AAAAUACUAAAAUAGUAAUUAAUAUUUAUUGAAACUUAAAUAAUUUGGCGGUAUUUUAGUUCAUUUAGAGGAAUCUGUUUAAUAAUUGAUAUUCCACGAAUAAAUUUACUUAUUUUAUAAUUUUGUAUAUCGUUGUUAUAAAAAUAUUUUUUAAUAAAAUUAAUGUUUAAAAAUUAAUAUGAAAAAUUAAAUCAGAUCAAGAUGCAGAUUAUAAUUAAGAAUAUAAUGGAUUACAAUAAAUUUAUUUAAAUGAAUUUUAUUUUGUAAUAUUUAAAUGAAGGUGGAUUUAAAUGUAAUUUUAUUUAAUUUAAUAAAAUGAUUAAAAAUUAAAAUAUGU